CCAACUGUGGAAAAUCAAACUGAUAAGAGUAGGUACAAGUCAAACAUAAAAAACGACGCCGUUUCGUUCCCCGAAAACCAAUAACAAAUCAUACCGUCGGAAGAGUCGGCUCUGUGUUUGGACGGAAAGAAAGGAGAAGUAAAGAAAAUCAUGGGUGCAGAAGAAGAGCAACUAAACGAGAAAUCACCGUCUACGGCCAACCCCAUCACCCCGGCCCAAUUUCUCUCCUGGAAGCGCCAGAAGGAGGCUGAUACAUCAGCUAGAAAAGCUGAGGCAGCUAGGAAACGUGCAGAGGAUAUAGCUGCAGGAACAGUGCAAAUGAAUGGCCGGGAGCUUUUCUUGCAUGAGCCUUGGGUCUUUGAUAACACUAAGUAUUAAGGUGAUAUUUUUGAAAGUAUGAUGGUCAUUUAACCAAGGAAGAACAAUGGUAAAAUUAAGCAAAAAUAGGGAUAGUUGUUCUGUCAGCAAUCAGUUGAGAAAAGAAUUGCUUGUAUUGCAAUGAUUGUAACAAUACUUUGCUGGUUUCUCUGACAGCUAUAAUGAUAUUUGUAUCUUAAAUGAGUGUCUUCCUUUCCCUUGGUUUGCAUAUUUGUCAAUGAAACUCUUUUAAGUACUUGAUCACAUGAGCAAUCUCAAACUGGAAUGAGUCUUGAUUAAGAUAUCUGUUAGUUGUUUUGUAUGUCC